rnacentral:tRNA from 1 species
AGAAAAGUAAGCUAAUUUAAAAGCUAAUGGGUUCAUACCCCAUUUAUAGAGUUAAAACUCUCUUUUCUA